UCCAAAUCCUAUUAGGAUUUUGAGCCAUAAUUCUAACAACAAUUCAUAUGAUUCCCAGCUUCCAUUCGAUCCUGUAGAACAAUAACAUGCAUUUUGCAUCAAUUAGAUUAGAUUGAUAUUCAUAGGAGACUUGAAUAUUUAUUCGGGGAGAAAAACCAGAAAUGAAUAAGAAUCAUAUCUCUACUAUGUAUCCAAUUCAAUUACCAUAUAUUCAAGAACUGAAUGCAAGCAAUUAAAAUCAGUACCCUAAGAUACUGAAGCUUUAUACUCAGCAACAAAGUGACUGCUUCAUUUUGAUAUAGAAUCAUAUGCACAAGUGAAAUGCCGAGAAUGAAGGUGCGAAAACAAAUCAUCAACUGUAUCAGAACAUUUUGUUCUGCACUUUCUUCAUUUCCUACUAUAGCAAAAAUAUACCUAAUGAACACUUUGCAAGCAAGUGAAGAUUUUAUUUGCCUUGCCACGUCAAAAUCCACAGUAAAUAAAUAAAAUUUGCCAUCAUUUAUUGUAUCAAUUGGUAGUAAAUUGAGAACCACAAACCUACCAAAAACUUUAAUGAGCCAAAUAUUAAUGACCUUGAAUUCGACUCAUUUAGUAGAUGAAUCUAAAUAUAAUUCCCAAACUUGACUUGUUUAAAUCAAGUUGAGCCUUAAAGGAACUCGACUCAUUUAUAAACCAAGUCAAGUCUCGAGCAGCUUGAUUCAUUUACACUCUUAA
rnacentral:misc_RNA from 1 species